UUCGCAAUGCCCGAAAGGGUGACGAAGCGACGCCGCGUGCGGGAAGAAGGCCUUCGGGCUGUAAACCGCUGUCGGGAGUUAAGAAAUGUAAGGAUGUUAAUAGCAUCUUUGCUUGACUAAGGCUCCGGAGGAAGCCACGGCUAACACUGUGCCAGCAGCCGCGGUAAUACAGAGGCGGCAAGCGUUGUUCGGAAUUAUUGGGCGUAAAGAGCACGUAGGCGGCUAUGUAAGUCGGUUGUGAAAGCCUUCCGCUCAACGGGAGAACAGCAUCCGAUACUGCAUGGCUUGAGUGCGGGAGGGGAGAGUGGAACUUCUGGUGGAGCGGUGAAAUGCGUAGAUAUCAGAAGGAACGCCGGCGGCGAAAGCGGCUCUCUGGCCCAUAACUGACGCUGAGUGUGCGAAAGCUAGGGGAGCAAACGGGAUUAGAUACCCCGGUAGUCCUAGCCGUAAACGAUGGGCACUAAGUAGAGGGGUUUU
rnacentral:rRNA from 1 species